CCCACUUACAGUUUUACGAUAUACUGAUGGUUCUUUGGAACA
rnacentral:sRNA from 1 species